AUCCCGGCAGAGGAUCUUAGAGAGCACGUGAAGCAACAUGAGGACUUUGUUCGCCCUCCUAGUCAUCUGCGUUGUCGUAGCAGUUGCUUACGGCACCCUCCUCAGUCACCUCAAGGCCAAAAAGUACGGUCGCGGUUUUGGCCAUGGUGGUUUUGGCCAUGGUGGAUAUGGAGGAGGCUAUGGCGGUGGAUAUGGUGGCUCUUAUGGUGGGUUCUAUGGUGGCUCGUACGGUGGCUCAUACGGAGGAGGCUUCGGUGCUGGACAUUGGGGAUAAACGGACCAAUUCAACUGAUACCAUGACAAUACUUUAACAAGGUACGGGACCACACCGCCUACGCUUCGUGAUUCUGCGACUUCUACAUCCUGAUUUCACGUUCAGAAAAUUCAGUAUUUAAUAAAUGUGAAACGCCAA